UGAAUACGAGACGCUAAGGCGUCGAAGUAGUGUAUGUCAUACUUCCAAGAAAAGCUUGCACUGUCAUAGAUAAAAAACGCCUGUACCAUAACCGACACAGGUGGGUAGGUAGAGUAUACUAAGGGGCGCGAGAUAACUCUCUCUAAGGAACUCGGCAAAAUAACUCCGUAACUUCGGGAGAAGGAGUGCCUUAUUCUUAAGGUUGCAAUAACAAGAUCCAAGCAACUGUUUAUCAAAAACACAGGUCUCCGCUAAGUCGUAAGACGAUGUAUGGGGGCUGACGCCUGCCCAGUGCCAGAAGGUUAAAGAAGCUGUUAGCAUUUGCGAAGCUAGUAACUGAAGCCCUGGUGAACGGCGGCCGUAACAAUAACGGUCCUAAGGUAGCGAAAUUCCUUGUCGGGUAAGUUCCGACCCGCACGAAAGGCGUAAUGAUUUGGAUACUGUCUCGGAGAGGGGCUCGGUGAAAUAGACUUGUCUGUGAAGAUGCGGACUACCUGCACCAGGACAGAAAGACCCUAUGAAGCUUUACUGUAACUUGAAAUUGAAAUUGGACUUUAUUCGCGCAGUAUAGGUGGGAGGCGUUGAUUAUAAUCUUGCGGGAUUAUUGGAGCCAUUAGUGAGAUACCACUCUUGUAAUGUUAGAUUUCUAACUUUGAAUCAUUAUCUGGUCAAAGAACAGUUUCAGGCGGGCAGUUUGACUGGGGCGGUCGCCUCCCAAACGGUAACGGAGGCGUACAAAGGUUUCCUCUGAACGGUUAGAAAUCGUAUCUAGAGUGUAAAGGCAUAAGGAAGCUUGACUGUGAGACCUACAAGUCGAGCAGGGACGAAAGUCGGUCUUAGUGAUCUGACGGUACUGAGUGGAAAGGCCGUCACUCAACGGAUAAAAGUUACUCUAAGGAUAACAGGCUGAUCUCCCCCAAGAGUUCACAUCGACGGGGAGGUUUGGCACCUCGAUGUCGGCUCAUCGCAUCCUGGGGCGGUAGUACGUCCCAAGGGUUGGGCUGUUCGCCCAUGAAAGCGGUACGCGAGCUGGGUUCAGAACGUCGUGAGACAGUUCGGUCCAUAUCCGGUGUAGGCGUUAGAAUAUUGAGAGGAGCCUUCUUUAGUACGAGAGGACCGAGAAGGACAUACCUCUGGUGUACCAGUUAUCGUGCCAACGGUAGACGCUGGGUAGCUAUGUAUGGAGUGGAUAACCGCUGAAAGCAUCUAAGUGGGAAGCCCACCUCAAGAUAAGUAUUCUCAUC
rnacentral:rRNA from 1 species